rnacentral:rRNA from 1 species
UAGUCAUAUGCUUGUCUCAAAGAUUAAGCCAUGCAUGUCUAAGUUUAAGCAAUAAACGGUGAAACUGCGAAUGGCUCAUUAAAUCAGUCAUAGUUUAUUUGAUGGUACCUUACUACAUGGAUAACUGUGGUAAUUCUAGAGCUAAUACAUGCUGAAAAAUCCCGACUUCUGGAAGGGAUGUAUUUAUUAGAUCCAAAACCAAUGGCUUCGGUCUUUUUGGUGAAUCAUGAUAACUGCUCGAAUCGCAUGGCCUUGCGCCGGCGAUGCUUCAUUCAAA